rnacentral:rRNA from 1 species
GAUGAACGCUGGCGGCGUGCCUAAUACAUGCAAGUCGAACGCUGAAGGAGGAGCUUGCUCUUCUGGAUGAGUUGCGAACGGGUGAGUAACGCGUAGGUAACCUGCCUGGUAGCGGGGGAUAACUAUUGGAAACGAUAGCUAAUACCGCAUGACAACAGUUAUUGCAUGAUAACCGUUUAAAAGGGGCAACUGCUCCACUACCAGAUGGCCCUGCGUUGUAUUAGCUAGUUGGUGAGGUAACGGCUCGCCAAGGCGACGAUACAUAGCCGACCUGAGAGGGUGGUCGGCCACACUGGGACUGAGACACGGCCCAGACUCCUACGGGAGGCAGCAGUAGGGAAACUUCGGCAAUGGACGGAAGUCUGACCGCGCAACGCCGCGGGAGUGAAGAAGGUUUUCGGAUCGUAAAGCUCUGUUGUAAGGGAAGAACGAGUGUGAGAGUGGAAAGUUCACACUGUGACGGUAUCUUACCAGAAAGGGACGGCUAACUACGUG